AUUGAACGCUGGCGGCAGGCUUAACACAUGCAAGUCGAGCGGAGAUGAGGUGCUUGCACCUUAUCUUAGCGGCGGACGGGUGAGUAAUGCUUAGGAAUCUGCCUAUUAGUGGGGGACAACAUUCCGAAAGGAAUGCUAAUACCGCAUACGUCCUACGGGAGAAAGCAGGGGAUCUUCGGACCUUGCGCUAAUAGAUGAGCCUAAGUCGGAUUAGCUAGUUGGUGGGGUAAAGGCCUACCAAGGCGACGAUCUGUAGCGGGUCUGAGAGGAUGAUCCGCCACACUGGGACUGAGACACGGCCCAGACUCCUACGGGAGGCAGCAGUGGGGAAUAUUGGACAAUGGGGGGAACCCUGAUCCAGCCAUGCCGCGUGUGUGAAGAAGGCCUUAUGGUUGUAAAGCACUUUAAGCGAGGAGGAGGCUACUGAGACUAAUACUCUUGGGUAGUGGACGUUACUCGCAGAAUAAGCACCGGCUAACUCUGUGCCAGCCGCCGCUGUAAAAC
rnacentral:rRNA from 1 species